rnacentral:rRNA from 1 species
GAUGAACGCUGGCGGCGUGCCUAAUACAUGCAAGUCGAGCGAACGGACGAGAAGUUUGCUUCUCUGAUGUUAGCGGCGGACGGGUGAGUAACACGUGGAUCACCUACCUAUAUGACUGGGAUAACUUCGGGAAACCGGAGAUAACACCGGAUGAUAUUUUGAACCGCAUGGUUCAAAAGUGAAAGACGGUCUUGCUGUCUCUUAUAGAUGGAUCCGCGCUGCAUUGGCUGGUUGGUAAGGUAAAGGCUUACCAAGGCAACGAGGCAUAGACGACCGGAGAGGGGGGUCGGCCGCACGGGAACGGGAACGCGCACCAGAGUCCUACGGGAGGCAGCAGUAUGGAAUGGGCCGCAAUAGGCGAGAGCCUGACGGAGCGACGCCGCGUGAGUGAUGAAGAUGUUCGGAUCGUAAAACUCUGUUAUUAGGGAAGAACAGAUUUGUAAUGAACUGAACACAGCGUGACGGUACCUAAUCAGAAAGCCACGGCUAACUACGUG